AUGGCAUGGUGAGAAUAUUUUUGGAUGAGGUCUUUGAGCCUCUCCCAUAUCUCAUGGAACAUCUCCCCCUCCAUCUAGAAAAAAAUGAUUAUGGAUUUUCUAAUCUU